rnacentral:rRNA from 1 species
GACGAACCGUGCGAACGUUGUUCGGAAUCACUGGGCUUAAAGGGCGCGUAGGCGGCUCGGCACGUCCGUUGUGAAAUCGCCCGGCUCAACUGGGCGGGGUCAGCGGAUACGGUCGAGCUUGAGCAAGCUAGGGGGCAAUGGAAUUCCCGGUGUAGUGGUGGAAUGCGUAGAUAUCAGGAGGAACACCGAUGGCGAAGGCAGGUCUCUGGGCCACUACUGACGCUGAGAAGCGAAAGCAUGGGGAGCGAACAGG